AUUGAACGCUGGCGGCAGGCCUAACACAUGCAAGUCGAGCGGAUGAGGGGUGCUUGCACUCCGAUUCAGCGGCGGACGGGUGAGUAAUGCCUAGGAAUCUGCCUGGUAGUGGGGGAUAACGUUCGGAAACGGACGCUAAUACCGCAUACGUCCUACGGGAGAAAGCAGGGGACCUUCGGGCCUUGCGCUAUCAGAUGAGCCUAGGUCGGAUUAGCUAGUUGGCGGGGUAAAGGCCCACCAAGGCGACGAUCCGUAACUGGUCUGAGAGGAUGAUCAGUCACACUGGAACUGAGACACGGUCCAGACUCCUACGGGUGGCUG
rnacentral:rRNA from 1 species